UGAACAGAGAGGGGAGGUCGUUGCCCUAAUGUUUUGGGGGAUCGUCUAGGCUCAUCAGUUGGAGUGGUGUUUGACCAACACACAGGUCUGUGCAUCUAUUCGGACUGAUUCUGAUGACCUGUAAGCUCACAUAUUUGGGAAAGUUCCUGCCAGUGUUCCAGAAUGUCCAAACUUGGUCCCCACUGCACAG